rnacentral:snRNA from 1 species
UUUGCUUUUCAGCCUUUUGGCUAAGAUGAAGUAUAGUACCUGUUCCUAUCAGUGUAAUAUCUGAUACGUUCACUACUUGAAGAUGACAUGUUAGACAUAUUACAUGCAUUUUUGGAGUAGGAGGUGGAAUAGGAGUUUGCUCAGUCCAUUCCUCGCAUUGACCCGGUAUUGUAGUAUUUUGGGGAAUGGUGCACCCCCU